AAAUAAAACUUCCUACCGUCCAUUUUCUCUCGAGCCUCGGCCAUGGCAGCACGCGGGGCCGCACGGGGAGGCAAGGACACUCGACUUUACCUGAUUUUUGGUGGUUUGUGGCCCUCCUGACCCCCGCUAUGGCCCGGAGACAGUGUUUUAGGGGUCAGGGUGCCAGAAGGCCAUGGGACCACAGCCCCUAGAGCAGGCUGCUCAAGGCUAUGAUUUAAUGAUCCUCUGGAGUGGGGGCUAGAUCCUGUCGAGAUGGUCAGACUUCUGUAAGGUUGUGCUUGAGGAGCUGGUCUGCCAUUGGUCUGGAAAUCAGCCUAUCCUUGACCUCAUUCGUGUAUGGGACAGCAGAAGCAGAGGAAUGAGCUGCAAUAUUCGCCUACCAGAGAUCAUGGCAUUUCAUCAUCUUGAUUGAUGCCACAGGUGACUUGAGAUUUCUCACAAGCCAGGCCUUUAUGAUGGCAGCCAACUCUCCUCUGAUGUCCAUUGCUGGAAUCCAUCCAUCAGCCUCCAGUAUAACAGCGUCUACUCUGAAGAACCUCUCAGCAUUCAAAAGUAGCAGUGGAGGACCCAAACCUGCUCCACUAAGGCUUCCCUGAGGAGCAGCCACACUGGACAAGCAAGAUGGAAGGAUAUUCAAGGUGGUUGGGGUUGAAGGGCUGUGACAGACUAGCAGACCCGAACCACCCUUGUGUUGUGCGAGGUGAUCAUGGGUGUUGUAGCUGUCCAUUCUUCAGGAAAACACAGAUUGACAGACAUAGCAAAGGAAAGAAGGAAUGUGGUGUCUUGCAUAAUAGAUUGAGGAAGGAAUGGGGAUCCUCCUUCCUUGCUUUCCACUGUCCUCCCCUCUCCCGAGGCUCCUGUGUUUUAUUUUGUUCAUAAUAGUGACCUCAACAUACAUCCAGGAGGAGGAGGGAAGACAGUCUUCAGGAGCAGAACUCGUGUGUGAUCCAAGAAGUAUAUCCUUGUAGUGGUGAUCAGCAAGGUGGUGAAGGUGAGAAAGUUUCCUCGUCAAAUCAGCUUACAGAAAACUAACCACGUCACAUCAAUGCAACGGAGAACACGUGCGUGAUCCAAGAAGUAUAUCCUUGUAGUGGUGAUCAGCAAGGUGAAGAAGGGCCAAAGUGUGGAGAUUGAAGAAGAAAUUGUCCCAAGAUGGAGGUUAUCCAGAGAAUGAGAGCAAUGAAGAAUAUGUGAAGGAUUUUUUCUUGGCUGGAGGGAGAAGGGUGUCCUCAAGAUUGGUCUUCAGCAAAAUCAAGGUGACUGUGUACAUAGCAAUCGCAGUAUCAUGAUUCUUCCACAUUAGCUUCAGUUGUGAUGGUGAUAUGUAUAGAUGUAGUACAAUUACCAGUUGGUUUUGUAGAUGGUACAAGGUUAUGUGGGAUAAACUUCACUUUUUUCACAUGAAAAUAGGACUACCCAUUCCUUCAGGGGCCCCAGCAUUGCAAGUGGCUCUUCAGUGUUUUGAGGGGCCCCAACAUUGCAAGUGGCUUCUUCAGUAUUUUAAUGGGCCCCAGCAGUGCAAUUGGCUGCUUCAGUGUUUCAGGGGGCUCCAACAUUCUAAGUGGCUUCAUGUUUUUAGGGGCCCCAGCAGUGCAAGUGGUGUCUGGCUGGUGGUGAGGUGAUGUUGUCCUUCGACUGUAGAGGCUAGAUCCUCUUGAGUUAACUCAACUUCUGUAGGAAGGUUGUUGUACAUAUGAGGGUUUGGAAAGAACUGUUGGCAUCAAAGGAGUUGCUGCCAAGGUCCUGUGAGUUGAUCCAUGGAUAUUGAGUUUUGUUAAGGAUGCUGUGAAGGGUGUGUGUUCGGAUAGUGUGAAGGGAGCAAAAUCUUGGGCAUUGAAGCAGGAAGUGGUCCAGUGUGUCAGGCUGUGUGGGACACCAUGGGAUCCUGACUGGCUGUAUAUUCGUGUGUCCCAAGUCCCAACAUGGUCAACAUUAAUAAAACGUGCAUGACUUUGAUGACUAUUAUCUUACUACCAGAUAGUAAUAUUGUGUAUGGGUACCUUGGAAUAAAAACUUGCCAUAGAA